GAUGAACGCUAGCGGGAGGCCUAACACAUGCAAGCCGAGCGGUAGAGUCUCUUUUGAAACUUGAGAGCGGCGCACGGGUGCGUAACACGUGUGCAACCUACCUUUAUUUGGUUGAUAUCCUUUCGAAAGGAAGAUUAAUAUCCCAUAAUAUAAUAUUCUGCAUCAGUUAUUAUUGAAAGAUCCGGUGGGUAGAGAUGUGCACGCGCAAGAUUAGAGCGUUGUUGAGGUAACGGCUCAGAAAGUCAAUGAUCUUUAGGGGUACUGAGAGGGAGACUCCGCACGCGGGUACUGAGACACGGACUAGACUACGACGGGAGGUAGCAGUGAGGGAAGUUGUGCGAUGGAUGAGAGCCUGAGCCAGACAUCCCGCGUGAAGGAUGACGGUCGUAUGGAUUGUAAUCUUCUUUUGUACAGGGAUAAACCUAGCCUCGUGAGGGUUGCUGAAGGUACUGGAAGAAGAAGCACCGGCUAACUACGUG
rnacentral:rRNA from 1 species